ensembl:snRNA U1 U1 spliceosomal RNA
AUAUUUAACCUGGCAAGGGAGAUGCCAUGGUUAUGAAGGUGGUUUUCCCAGGGCAAAGCCUAUCCAUCCCACUCUGGAUGUGCUGACUCGUGUGAUUUCCCCAAAUGUGGGGAAUUGAACUGUGUAAUUUGGGCACACAAGGUGGCUCACACCUGU